AACUAAAAUUUAAUAUAAAUUUUAGGAGUUAAUUUGAUAUACUAGCACAUUGUAUUAACUCAAGUUCCUAAUUAGAUUCAGUUCAAAGCGUUUGAGCUAAACUAGACCAGUUGCCUUUGACCUAAUGGGAUUAGAUCUAAUUUAAUUUGAUUCUUAUCCAACUUAGAAGUAUUUUAAAUAUGGAAGGAGUCCUCUGUGCCCACC
rnacentral:lncRNA from 1 species